UACGUAGGGUGCAAGCGUUGUCCGGAUUUAUUGGGCGUAAAGAGCUCGUAGGCGGCUUGUCGCGUCGUCCGUGAAAACUUGGGGCUCAACCCCAAGCUUGCGGUCGAUACGGGCAGGCUAGAGUUCGGUAGGGGAGACUGGAAUUCCUGGUGUAGCGGUGAAAUGCGCAGAUAUCAGGAGGAACACCGGUGGCGAAGGCGGGUCUCUGGGCCGAUACUGACGCUGAGGAGCGAAAGCGUGGGGAGCGAACAGG
rnacentral:rRNA from 1 species